UACGUAGGGGGCAAGCGUUAUCCGGAUUUACUGGGUGUAAAGGGAGCGUAGACGGCGAUGCAAGUCUGAAGUGAAAGCCCGGGGCUCAACCCCGGGACUGCUUUGGAAACUGUAUGGCUGGAGUGCUGGAGAGGCAGGCGGAAUUCCUAGUGUAGCGGUGAAAUGCGUAGAUAUUAGGAAGAACACCAGUGGCGAAGGCGGCUUGCUGGACAGUAACUGACGUUGAGGCUCGAAAGCGUGGGGAGCAAACAGG
rnacentral:rRNA from 1 species